GUGGAUGUGUGCUUUGCUAGGGAAUGCCAUAAGGCCUCCAGAUGGCCAGAGGAAAAUAAAAGCCAGUUUCCUACUUUGAUGUUGAAAACACGCUACUCAGUCUUUGCUGUUUGCCUUCCCAAAAUAACCCCCAGUCGGGUCCCCUGAUGGAGCAGACCCGCUGCGGGCCUGGCGGCCAGACGUGAGAGGCAGGGGAGGACGGAACGGUGGAAGGUGCGCAUUCCGAGCAGCGGGAGCCUGGGCUGUCUCCGCUCCCCGGAGCCCCGGCGGGGGUGACUCAGGCUGAGCCCGAGCCCCACCCGCCCGGAGAAUGCGCCGCCCCCGCCCUCCAGCUCCCACUCCCGAGCCGGGCUUACCCACCGCGGGGCGGGUUUGCGAAAUUCACCCUAGGGAGUUUGAAACAGCUCAAAGCCAACGGCCUGCCUCCCUCCAGAUCCCACCCCCACCUCGAGUUUCCUGAAACAGAACUUCUGCAAAAAACUGCCGGGUCUGCCAAGGGAGCUCCAGGCAAUGAUACUAAUGUCAAAACUACAGUGAUGCAAGACACUGAAAAAGAUGUGAAUUCCAAUGCACAAGAACCUCCAAGAGACAGAUCUGUGAUUUCACCAAUAUGAUAUACAGAAAGUACCUCCAUCAGUGUGGAUCCAUAACUCAAACCUGGCUGAAAUUUGUAGAGAAUUGCCUGGGGCAGAGAAUGGUUAGAGAUUUUCUCCAUAUACCCAAGACCAGAGUGAAAGAGGCAAGAUAUGAAUUUAAACCAUCCUGACUCCAAGGCCAGCUCUUUAUUCCCAUGGGGAGAGGUAUGAAAUGGAUAAGGAUACUGGAAGAGACAAUGUUGAUUUAGGGAGCAAGGUCUGAAUAGAAAUAUGCCUCAGGCAGACGUGAGCUAGCCCACAGCCCAGAGCUGAGCUGGAAUUCCACUUGUGAGCUCUUAUACAAAUAUUUGACUUUCCGAGUUUCCAUUUCCUCAUCUAAGAAAUGGUGGUAGUAAGUUAUGAGGCUCACGUGAGAUGAUGUAUGUAUACAAAGCAUUUUGUUAGCCUUAAAGCCAAACAUGGACAACCCGCAGCAGGGAUUUUCAGCAACAUAGCAGCAGCCACCAGGAAAAAACAAAACAAAACAAUUAAAAUAAAAUAGAGUUGUCUUUGUUUCUUGCCCACUUCCUUGUCUCUCUUACCCUUCUCAGACACUCCUGUAACCCUCUGGUUAGAAGGACUCAUCCAACCCUACCCUGUUCUUCUAUCCAUCUAUCAAACAAUCAAUCAAUCAACAAACACCAAUUAAAGGCCUAUUUUGUUCCAGGUACCGGGGAAGCCUAUAUUCUAAUGAGACAGAUAACACACGCAUAUAUAAUACUUGAUAUUCAUAGCAUCAUAAAUUCAGAACAGAAAAAUUGAGAGCAGAGGCCAUUGGAAAUCAACCCCCUAAUCUCCCAUUUAACAUAUACAAAUGAAUACUGGAGGAAGAUUAGCUGUUGGGGAGGAUGGGGUGACAUCCUCAAUAACCAGCAUAAGUAAUUGGUUCAAUAAUAUAGGAGAUGCGUCUAAAGGUGAAGAACUUACAGCAGUGGUUCUCCAAGUAUGGUAUAAAGACUCCUGGGGAUCUCUGAAACCCUUUUAGAAGGUCUACAAAU